UACGAAGGGUGCAAGCGUUAAUCGGAAUUACUGGGCGUAAAGGGUGCGUAGGCGGUUCGUUAAGUCUGUUGUGAAAGCCCCAGGCUCAACCUGGGAAGUGCACUCGAUACUGCGUGGCUUGAGUAUCGGAGAGGUUGGUGGAAUUCUCGGUGUAGAGGUGAAAUUCGUAGAUAUCGAGAGGAACACCGGUGGCGAAGGCGGCCAACUGGACGAAUACUGACGCUGAGACACGAAAGCGUGGGGAGCAAACAGG
rnacentral:rRNA from 1 species